AUGGCGGCACAGGUUUUUAUCGUUUCCCCUGUCUUGGGCAUGGCCGAAGCGGAACGAUGUCAGGUCGUGUCACGCCAU
rfam:Acidobacteriales bacterium 13_1_40CM_3_55_5 13_1_40cm_3_scaffold_476, whole genome shotgun sequence.